GGAUGCGAUGAUAGCAGCACUAAAGCACCGGAUCCCAUCAGAACUCCGAAGUUAAGCGUGCUUGGGCGAGAGUAGUACUAGGAUGGGUGACCUCCUGGGAAGUCCUCGUGUUGCAUUCC
rnacentral:rRNA from 1 species